GCUUAGGUACGAGGGCUCCUUGUUACAGAACUAAGCUUACCUUGGAAUUUUCAAAGUUACUUCUGGAGAAUAUACGGAUGAAUUUUAUUAAUAUGACGAGGCACCUGCUGCGGGAUGUGUACAGAACAUAUCGAGAACUUGCAUUGGAGAGUCGGCCAAAAAUGCGGUGAUUAUCAUUUAAAAACAUUUGAAGGAAAGUGGCGGUCAUCGAGAGCAAAACUAUGAAAAGGUGAUUUUCGUAGUGAUUUUCCAGACGAGCUGUGGUUGCCAGAAGCAGAGUGAUGGGAGUAACAACUGCCUCUCCAGGUGACUGCCCAUGGCAGGCCUUUAACGGGCCAGCAUCGUGUUGAUGGCCUUUCAUGGGCGUAUCUUGUCAUCAGAUUUACUCUUGGAUGAAGGCUCCUGAUGUAAACAUCAUCAAGAUACCCGUUAAGGUGCCUUUCUCCAUUUUCAUCCUCAGAAAAGUGAUUCACCCGAGCUAGUAUAGGCUAAGCAUCCUACAGCCAGCCCCACCAUGGCCUUUUUCUCCUCUGACCAAAGCAUGUUUCUGAGAGAUGCGAGUCUCUACCGAGUUUUCAAGGCAAUUAUGCAGAGAAAGAACACAAACGUUGUACACAAGCAAUUGUACUAUCAAACUAGAGAUACACGCAAACUUUAAAUUGAACAUAAAUCUGGCUCUUCAGCUUUAAGUUACCUUGUCGUAAGCUCUACGUCCAAUGACGUUAAUCUACCUUAACGCGCCUUAACGAGCAUUAUAAAACUGAUUAAAGUUGCCUAACGAACUUUACGCAACUUCAAUUACCGUAAAUCUCUUUUUUAUAAUUGGCUAUCUCAUUCGCAGUCUCAUGAUUCUUGUGUUAAUAGAAAAAAUUCUUAAGCUCAUUUACCCCGAGGGUGGAGUGGUUUUGACUCAGUGUCGUAAAACCAUAGCCUGAGUAACCGCAAAGUAACAAUCAAAUUAAAGAGAAUCCCAAAAAGUGCACGAGAUACAUACUGGGAACAAUCGAAUGACACUAACGUAACAAUCCAGUGAACAUAAAAUGUGCGUGGUACUAACGUAACAAUUUUGUGAACGACAGUCCUAAAAUGCGCGUUUAAUGACAUAACUUUCCAAUAAAAGAGAAUC